rnacentral:rRNA from 1 species
GACGAACGCUGGCGGCGUGCCUAAUACAUGCAAGUUGAGCGCUGAAGGUUGGUACUUGUACCAACUGGAUGAGCAGCGAACGGGUGAGUAACGCGUGGGGAAUCUGCCUUUGAGCGGGGGACAACAUUUGGAAACGAAUGCUAAUACCGCAUAAAAACUUUAAACACAAGUUUUAAGUUUGAAAGAUGCAAUUGCAUCACUCAAAGAUGAUCCCGCGUUGUAUUAGCUAGUUGGUGAGGUAAAGGCUCACCAAGGCGAUGAUACAUAGCCGACCUGAGAGGGUGAUCGGCCAAAUUGGGACGGGGACACGGCCCAAACUCCUUCGGGAGGCAGCAGUAGGGAAUCUUCGGAAAUAGACGAAAGUCUGACCGAGCAACGCCGCGGGAGUGAAGAAGGGUUUCGGAUCGUAAAACUCGGUUGGUAGAGAAGAACGUUGGUGAGAGUGGAAAGCUCAUCAAGUGACGGUAACUACACAGAAAGGGACGGCUAACUACGUG